GCGGCCGCGGGGGGUGGGGGGUGGGAGGCCGGGAGGGGGCCGGGACGCCGGGCUCCGGGGCGGGGGCGGGGGGCGCGGGCACCGGCGACCCCGGUGGCGGCGGCGGCGGCCGGGGGAAGCCUCGGGGCCGGUCAUGCGGCUGCGGGGCCCGCGGCCCGGAGCGUCCGCCCAGCCCUGAGCGAGAGACAGUGCGCACGGCCACCCCCUUCCCCAUGGUCAGCCUCUUCCUCGUGUUCACGGCCUUCGUCAUCAGCAACAUCGGCCACAUCCGCCCGCAGAGGACCAUUCUGGCUUUUGUCUCUGGCAUCUUCUUCAUACUAUCGGGCCUCUCCUUGGUGGUGGGCUUGGUUCUUUACAUCUCCAGCAUCAACGACGAGGUCAUGAACAGGCCCAGCAGCUCUGAGCAGUAUUUUCAUUAUCGCUACGGGUGGUCUUUUGCCUUCGCCGC
rnacentral:sRNA from 1 species